rnacentral:lncRNA from 1 species
GAAAGAGAAAGGCAGAGGACAGGUAUUAUGCCUGAAGAGGCGGCUGUGACUCAGUCAUGCUGCUGUCAUGACUUCUCAUUCCAGGAAUGCCUCCGGUGAACCGAAGGUUGCCAGUCUGCUUUCAGAAAAAGAUUUGCUUUGGAGACUGUUGCUGCUGCUGAGAUAAGAUGGAGUCACAUAUAAGCACAGAGCUCCUAAGGAAAGUUGGCUUGCAAAUCCCCAUGAAACACUUUUUAUUGAGUAAUAGACAAAAUGUUCUGAAGAACGUCAAGAUCAACCAAAAUCUUAUGAUUUGUGGAAUGUCAAAGAGAUUAAUGGUAAAUUUUAGGGAUCAUCGUUCAAUUCACAUUCAAGUGAUGCAGCAUGCAGUCUCGUGUACAAUGUGCGGCACUGCUAGGAGGCUUUCCCUUACAAAGACCUUAAUCCAUAGCUAUUGGAUUCAUUUCCUUUUCUAUGAGCACACACAUUAGCUUGACAAGGUACCUUCAACAAAAGCAAUUUAGCUUGGACCAUUUCCAAAAUCUUAGGAUGAGACUACAGAAUAUUUUGAUUUAUGGUCAUGAGGAUAGGGUCUAAAAUUCAUCCUGUCAUAACACUGUGUGUUGGUAGCCACACUAUAUAAUUUAUCUAUCCUGAAAUACUUUCUAAAAUUUGAAUAGAUCAUGGAGUUAUGAGAAUAUGUUUACAAUUGGCAGUGAAGAAAGACUUGAAGUCUAGAGAUACUGUAAGGAAAAAUUAAAAUAGUUUAAUGUGGACUCUCACAAUGCCACAGACUUAAAUGGAAAAAAUCAUCUAAAGUACAUCUGGGAGCCAAGUUAAACAGCAUCCUCCUGUGUCAAAGACAUGUGUGUCUGUGUGUGAUUCUGUGGGUGAAACUAGAGCCUUUUACAUGGUUAGCAAUUGCUGUACCAAGGAAAUAUGUCUCAAGCGUCAAAUAAGUUUUGCUCCAGGACCAGUU